UACGUAGGGUGCAAGCGUUGUCCGGAUUUAUUGGGCGUAAAGAGCUCGUAGGCGGUUUGUCGCGUCGGAUGUGAAAACCCAGGGCUCAACCCUGGGCCUGCAUUCGAUACGGGCAGACUAGAGGUAUGCAGGGGAGAAUGGAAUUCCUGGUGUAGCGGUGAAAUGCGCAGAUAUCAGGAGGAACACCGGUGGCGAAGGCGGUUCUCUGGGCAUUACCUGACGCUGAGGAGCGAAAGUGUGGGGAGCGAACAGG
rnacentral:rRNA from 1 species